rnacentral:rRNA from 1 species
CCUACGUGGGACAGCAGUGAGGAAUAUUGGUCAAUGGGCGAGAGCCUGAACCAGCCAAGUCGCGUGAAGGAUGACGGCCCUACGGGUUGUAAACUUCUUUUGUCAGGGAGCAAUUGGGUCCACGCGUGGGCUUAGCGAGAGUACCUGAAGAAAAAGCAUCGGCUAACUCCGUGCCAGCAGCCGCGGUAAUACGGAGGAUGCGAGCGUUAUCCGGAUUUAUUGGGUUAAAAGGGUGCGUAGGCGGAAUAUCAAGUCAGCGGUAAAAAUUCGGGGCUCAACCCCGUCGUGCCGUUGAAACUGAUGUUCUGGAGUGGGCGAGAAGUAUGCGGAAUGCGUGGUGUAGCUGUGAAAUGCAUAGAUAUCACGCAGAACUCCGAUUGCGAAGGCAGCUUACUAAACUAUAACUGACACUGAAGCACGAAAGCGUGGGGAUCAAACAGGAUUAGAUACCCGUGUAGUC